rnacentral:rRNA from 1 species
UACAGAGGUCUCAAGCGUUGUUCGGAUUCAUUGGGCGUAAAGAGCUCGUAGGCGGCCAGUUGCGUCUGCUGUGAAAUCCCGGGGCUCAACCCCGGGCUUGCAGUGGAUACGGGCUGGCUGGAGGCAGGCAGGGGAGAACGGAAUUCCCGGUGUAGCGGUGAAAUGCGCAGAUAUCGGGAGGAACACCGGUGGCGAAGGCGGUUCUCUGGGCCUGUACUGACGCUGAGGAGCGAAAGCGUGGGGAGCGAACAGG